UGGGUUUGUGCCCCUCCUAUUUUUGUAAUGUGAGGGUUUAGCCAAUGGGUAGUGAUUUUGAAGGUAUAAAAGCGUAACGCAUCAGUCGUAGGUGUGCGUCAUUGAGGGGGGCCGUUACGUCAUCAGCGCGCCGCCGCUUGUUUGCUCGAGUGGACUGUUUACAUCCGUGGUGAGUGUAUUGUUUGGCUUCGCAACACUUUAAACCGAGCUAUAUUGGAGCGCUAAUACUGAUUAUUUUCUAGUUGGUAGAGACUGCCGAAGCUGCUAACCACUGUACAAAAGUCUAUUUUGCUGCGUGAGGAACCAAAUGUGGACAAUUGAGACGGAUCUGGGCGCUGGGUGCAGACGAGUGGCUCUAUUGUGGUGGUGGUGUGUCCUUCACCGUGUGUUGUGCUUCUCACUGACACCAGUCUGUGUGUGUGUGCUAUGUUCACCUGAUUGUAGUGAUUUAAAUUUGGCAUAUGAGACUGCCCCAGUUGAACAGCAGCGUGGUGCUGAUCAGUGACGAUUUCUCGGUGGUGGAUCUGGGCGCUGGGUGCAGACGAGUGGCUCUAUUGUGGUGGUGGUGUGUCCUUCACCGUGUGUUGUGCUUCUCACUGACACCAGUCUGUGUGUGUGUGCUAUGUUCACCUGAUUGUAGUGAUUUAAAUUUGGCAUAUGAGACUGCCCCAGUUGGUAAGACCCAGCUCCUUGCCCACAAAAGAAGUGUUAUGUGUAAUGAGU